rnacentral:rRNA from 1 species
CCUACGGGCGGCAGCAGUGGGGAAUAUUGCUCAAUGGACGGAAGUCUGAACCAGCCAUGCCGCGUGCAUGAAGACGGCUCUCUGAGUUGUAAACUGCUUUUGUACAAGGGUAAACCUGAAGACGUGUAUUCAGCUGAAAGUACUGUACGAAUAAGGGUCGGCUAACUCCAUGCCAGCAGCCGCGGUAAUACGGAGGAUCCAAGCGUUGUCCGGAUUUAUUUGGUUUAAAGGGUGCGUAGGCGGAUUGAUAAGUUAGAGGUGAAAUGUCCGAGCUUAACUCGGGAACUGCCUCUAAUACUGGUGAUCUAGAGAGUAGAUGCGGUAGGCGGAAUGUAUGGUGUAGCGGUGAAAUGCUUAGAGAUCAUACAGAACACCGAUUGCGAAGGCAGCUUACUAAUCUAUAUCUGACGUUGAGGCACGAAAGCGUGGGGAGCAAACAGGAUUAGAUACCCCAGUAGUC